rnacentral:rRNA from 1 species
AUACAGAGGGUGCAAGCGUUAAUCGGAAUUACUGGGCGUAAAGCGCGCGUAGGCGGCUGAUUAAGUCAGAUGUGAAAUCCCCGGGCUCAGCCUGGGAACUGCAUCUGAUACUGGUAAGCUAGAGUUUGGGAGAGGGAAGUAGAAUUUCAGGUGUAGCGGUGAAAUGCAUAGAGAUCUGAAGGAAUACCAGUGGCGAAGGCGACUUCCUGGCCUAAAACUGACGCUGAGGUGCGAAAGCGUGGGUAGCAAACGGGAUUAGAAACCCCAGUAGUCC